rnacentral:rRNA from 1 species
GUAACCUGCCUGUAAGACUGGGAUAACUCCGGGAAACCGGAGCUAAUACCGGAUAGUUCCUUGAACCGCAUGGUUCAAGGAUGAAAGACGGUUUCGGCUGUCACUUACAGAUGGACCCGCGGCGCAUUAGCUAGUUGGUGAGGUAACGGCUCACCAAGGCGACGAUGCGUAGCCGACCUGAGAGGGUGAUCGGCCACACUGGGACUGAGACACGGCCCAGACUCCUACGGGAGGCAGCAGUAGGGAAUCUUCCGCAAUGGACGAAAGUCUGACGGAGCAACGCCGCGUGAGUGAUGAAGGUUUUCGGAUCGUAAAGCUCUGUUGUUAGGGAAGAACAAGUGCAAGAGUAACUGCUUGCACCUUGACGGUACCUAACCAGAAAGCCACGGCUAACUACGUGCCAGCAGCCGCGGUAAUACGUAGGUGGCAAGCGUUGUCCGGAAUUAUUGGGCGUAAAGGGCUCGCAGGCGGUUUCUUAAGUCUGAUGUGAAAGCCCCCGGCUCAACCGGGGAGGGUCAUUGGAAACUGGGAAACUUGAGUGCAGAAGAGGAGAGUGGAAUUCCACGUGUAGCGGUGAAAUGCGUAGAGAUGUGGAGGAACACCAGUGGCGAAGGCGACUCUCUGGUCUGUAACUGACGCUGAGGAGCGAAAGCGUG